rnacentral:rRNA from 1 species
GACGAACGCUGGCGGCGUGCUUAACACAUGCAAGUCGAACGAAGAGCGAUGGAAGCUUGCUUCUAUCACUCUUAGUGGCGAACGGGUGAGUAACGCGUAAUCAACCUUCCCUUCAGAGGGGGACAACAGUUGGAAACGACUGCUAAUACCGCAUACGAUCUGACCUCGGCAUCGAGGAUAGAUGAAAGGUGGCCUCUAUUUAUAAGCUAUCACUGCAGGAGGGGAUUGCGUCUGAGUAGCUAGUUGGAGGGGUAACGGCCCACCAAGGCGAUGAUCAGUAGCCGGUCUGAGAGGAUGAACGGCCACAUUGGGACUGAGACCCGGCCCAGACUCCUACGGGAGGCAGCAGUGGGGAAUCUUCCGCAAUAGACGAAAGUCUGACGGAGCAACGCCGCGUGAGUGAUGACGGCCUUCGGGUUGUAAAGCUCUGUUAAUCGGGACGAAAGGCCUUCUUGCGAAUAGUUAGAAGGAUUGACGGUACCGGAAUAGAAAGCCACGGCUAACUACGUG